rnacentral:lncRNA from 15 species
AUGACUGAGUACUCCACACAGCUGGGGGGCACAGGCUUUAAGCACCCUGGGAAAUACACCGUCGGGGUCUGCAGCUUUGCCGGAGUGGAGUCUUGUCAGUUGUCUUCUCACAAAGAACUGAGGAUUGCAUUUAGUAAUGAAACUGUUGAAAGGAUGUCAACUAUGACUGUAGGAGACCACAGGCGUGAACUUGCAGAGAAUAUGAGCCUGCAGAGCCUAACACUCAAGAGCCCCAUCUGCUGGACUUCACAAGCCCCUUGGAAACACUGCAAAUCCUCCAGCCUGUCUGUGAUGAACCCUUGCAUGCUGGGUGAAAGGAAGGACAGACCCUCCUGUCUUCAUUGUUGCACCCAGUACAGGACCUAUUACUCGUACAGAUUGGUUCCCUGCCAGUGUGGAUUCCCUCAGAGACGAGUGUAAACCAGGCACUAUGUGACUAAUUCAUCUGCACAGGCAAUUCUCAUAAUGUAUUUUUCAGUUGGUACAGCAAGAAAAGUCUGAUUAAAGUCUAUAAAAUCCGAUACCCUUGGCAGAGACGUUCCAGUUGUUGUUGUUGUUGGAGUUCUUAGCCAUGAGUGGCACUGUUGUAGGGAUGGCAAUGUUCUUUUGCCCCACUAUGGUCCAAACUAAAAUAUCUCAACAACUGUUGAAUAUAUUCUCAUGAAACAUUCUGCAACAUUAAACGUCAGCACACCCAACACAGAGACCGACCUACUCACUCGUCCGCCUUUACAGCCUCGUUGUGUUUGUACUCGCGCUCUUGCAAACUAUUCUAACUCAAACUUUACAACUUGUAGAUUUUAAAUACAAGAUUGAAUUACUAAUUAGUGGUGGUGAUGAUGAAGUCAUGCUACUGUGGUGUAGUUUGUUUAUAGCCUAAUGUUAGCUUUUUACUUCUGGCAAUCACAUUUACACCUAAAAUUCAUAAAAGUGUUUUUUAUUUGUGAGGAUUAUCUUGUUGAUCAUAAACAUUUGUUCACCACAGAGUUUAUCUUCUGCAAUAAUCCAAAAGCCAAUGGAAAAAAUCCCAUUGGCUUUUUGUUGAAGGGACCAGGCUGCUAACUUCUGCAUUGGCCUACAAAAAUACAUCAUCCCUGCAGCACUUAUGCUUAUUUUUUUUUAUUAUUUGUUAUCCCUAUACUUUUGUUUAUUACCAAAUACUUGUUCCAAUUAGCCUCAGCUAAAAAAGGUUAGCUUAAAGCACUGCUGUGUCUAAGUACAGCAUCACAGAACUGCUAGCGGGCUUUAGACUCUUAGUCUUGUUGUUCAGAUUGAGAUAUGAACUGAAUGAUCUGAGCAGAGCGGAGGAAUAAUACAUCUUUAAUAAAUCAAUUCUUUUGUAGCCUUAAAAUUAUGUCAUCAAAUUUAAUUUAUGCAGUGACUGCUUACAACUAACACAGUUUUAUUAUCAUUAUGUUGAAUAUAAGCAGAAAAAUUAGUCCUCUUCUAAGGAUAAGAAGCCCAAUUCUUUUUGCUUCAAAAGUAGAAAUGAAACCAAUCAGUUGUGCCACUCCAGACUAAUCAGAAAUGGGCUAAAUCGCACAAUCAAGUUGCCUCUUAGAUUUUCCUUCAGCUGUUUUUUUUCCACCUGUAAACAAAUUAAAAAUGUAUGAGAGCAGCCUGGGGGCUGUGGGAGCAGGUAAUGAGCUUGUUACUACGAGCUCACUGUAUUGUGAUUAACAGCUUGAUGAUGAGUUUGCUAUUUCAUGAAAUAUGAAGGUGUUUGACAUAUUUUGUGCUAAUAACAGUAUCUGAAAUCUUCAUUCCAGAUGGUUUGUCUGGGUGCUUUAACAUUUGUCAGUCACUUGAUCUUUUCAAAAGGAUGAUUUCACACUUGUUUUAAGACAGUCAUCCUAUGCAUACAUGCACAUGGCUGAAUAUUAAGUAUUCUUACUUAAACAUGCUAUGAACUGCCCAUGCUAUUGCUACUCCAAUCCACCCCACUCCCCAACCACCCCUCUCCUUAAUGUGCAUCAUUUUAUGUCAAGACACCCCCUUGUGUAGAGAGCUUUGACUCAGAGGCAGCAGUUGUGUUUUUUUGUUGUUUUUUUGGCCGUGUUCAGACUGCAGGCCAAAGUGACCUGAAUCUGAUUUCUUCAUGACGGCAUGAACAGUCCAAAUCCCAUCUGAUAUUUUUGAUUCUGAUGUGGGCCACUUUCAUAUGUGGUCAGGUCUGAUUCUUGCAAAGUGACCUCAGUGUGAACAGUCAUCAGAAUUCAUGUGACUUUUAUGUUACUCAAGAUUGAAUUUCGUCAUGUGGGUCACUUCAGAACCAUGACCUGUUCACCUGAUACGGGGCCGCUUUUUAAAAAAAUAAUGUGAAUAGUCAAACAAAAAAAUAUCAGAUCAGAGCAAUAAAUCAGAAUUGAGCGCUGAGGCUUGCAGUGUGAACAUAGCUUUAGCAGAUUAUUGCUAUUCAUGAUCAUUUUAGUUGCAGCCAUUACACUUAAACACUAUUAAAACAUAAUUAACAGAGCCUAUUUGGACAUCUAAGUUUUAUUUGAAUUGGAAUUUUAGCGUUAGAACGGUCCCCGGCCCCCCCUAUUUGUCCAUCUCAGAUUGCACUGCUGUUUGUCCUGAGACUUACGCGUGUUUAAAAUGCAACAUAAACUAUUUAUGAGCGGUUUUAAAGGCCUAAUAAACAUGCAGCACACAUGCUGCUGUGGAAAAGAUUACACUCUCAUGUUUGGUAUAUGCUCAAAUUAAUCAAUUACUGUCGAGUCUUAAUGAGCGGCCAGCACUGUUUGUAACCUGGAAAUGGCACAAAAUGCUUCCAUGUAUUUAAAGUCUUAAUCUUUUGCCAUUUUCACACACCGGCUUUACGUUCUUGGAUGUCUGUGACAAGGUUCCCCUCAGGAACAAUUCCAUUUAUUUUAUCUCAUCUGAAUCAAUUAUUCAGCACCUUCUCAUAACAUCCUACCAUAAACAAUAUGGUGCUAUAAACUUCUCGCAAUGGAUUCCAUUAAAAAGAUGGGGAGAUUUUCCUGUUUUCUGCAGAAUAAAAAAAGAAUAAAAUUAAGAUUAAUACUGUGAUUUUAUUGCCUGUCAAAAUAUGUGACCUUUGUCAAAUGUUAUGUCUCUUGCUCUAUAUGUAGUCAUCAUUUAACAAACAAGGCUCUUUGACAGCAACAGGUUCUCUCAUUAAAGGAAAGCCACAUUUUUAUUACUCAAGUGUUUAACGCCGCUAUAAAAUCACAGUAGUAAACUGGCCUACAUAAACAAGAGUUAAAAUAUGCUUACGAGUCAACUGCAACAAUAAAUCAAAGCACAGACACACACAGCUGCUGUUAAGUCCCAGCACUGAUAGAAAUCCUUGCAGAAGAGACUCACCAGCAGAGCAGAACAAACAGGAGAUCAACACAAACAGCACAGUGACAAAAGUACUCCGUUUAUUAUAAUAAUCAAUGGUUGCCACAUUACAAAGUUAUCAAAGGGAGGAAUGGAGGGCGGGACCCAGCCUGUAAAACAACAUUACUACAUACAAAUAAAAAGAAACACGGGUGAUAAAAAAUAUAGCUCAUCUUAAAGGACGCUCGUUUCUUCUGGGUGA